AUAACGACUCUCGGCAACGGAUAUCUCGGCUCUCGCAUCGAUGAAGAACGUAGCAAAAUGCGAUACUUGGUGUGAAUUGCAGAAUCCCGUGAACCAUCGAGUUUUUGAACGCAAGUUGCGCCCGAAGCCCUUAGGCCUAGGGCACGUCUGCCUGGGCGUCACGU
rnacentral:rRNA from 1 species